UACGGGGGGGGCAAGCGUUGUUCGGAAUUACUGGGCGUAAAGGGCUCGUAGGUGGCCAACUAAGUCAGACGUGAAAUCCCUCAGCUUAACUGGGGAACUGCGUCUGAUACUGGAUGGCUUGAGUUUGGGAGAGGGAUGCGGAAUUCCAGGUGUAGCGGUGAAAUGCGCAGAUAUCUGGAGGAACACCAAUGGCGAAGGCAGCUCGCUGGGACGGUACUGACGCUGAGACGCGAAAGCGUGGGGAGCAAACAGG
rnacentral:rRNA from 1 species